rnacentral:rRNA from 1 species
UAAGCAAGAUAUGAAAUCGUACGGCUCAACCGUAUACACGUAUCCUGAACUGUUAAACUAGAGGGCGAGAGAGGUUUCUAGAAUUUCUUGUGUAGGAGUGAAAUCCGUAGAUAUAAGAAGGAAUACCGAUGGCGUAGGCAGGAAACUGGCUCGCACCUGACACUAAGGCACGUAAGCGUGGGUAGCAAACGGGAUUAGAUACCCCGGUAGUCCACGCCGUAAACUAUGGAUGCUA